rnacentral:rRNA from 1 species
UACGUAGGUGGCAAGCGUUGUCCGGAAUUAUUGGGCGUAAAGCGCGCGCAGGCGGUUCUUUUAAGUCUGAUGUGAAAGCCCACGGCUCAACCGUGGAGGGUCAUUGGAAACUGGAGAACUUGAGUACAGAAGAGGAAAGUGGAAUUCCACGUGUAGCGGUGAAAUGCGUAGAGAUGUGGAGGAACACCAGUGGCGAAGGCGACUUUCUGGUCUGUAACUGACGCUGAGGCGCGAAAGCGUGGGGAGCAAACAGG